GCAUCGUGGAAUUCUGCAUUAGAGAAAGGACUUAUCGAUAUACUUCAUGACCAUAAUUUACCAAGAUUCAGGGCUCAAAAUGCUUGGAAUACCGAAGGAUGGAGAAGUAUCACCUCCAAGUUCAAUGAAAAGUUUCCACACAUUUAUUUCACGAAACAACAGAUCCAAGAAAAGGAGAAGGAACUCAAGGGGAACUACAAAGUUAUAAAAAAUGCACGAAAAGAAAGUGGAGUUGGAUGGAAUGAUUCACUUUGUAUGAUUGUUGCUGAACCAGCUAUUUGGGAUACGAUACUUCAGGCUCAUCCAAAGGUCAAGAAGUUUCGCUCCAAACCAUUCCCACUUUUCAAUCAAUUGGCCUUACUGUAUGAAGGAAGUGUUGCAACAGGUGAUUUAUGUUUUACAUCAACUCAAGAAAUAUCUCAUUCAAGUGAUCAGAAUAUGGGAAUGACACAUGAGGUUUUAAGUCUAGAUGGGUUGACAAACCCAUUUUCAAAUAUGGGUGCGCCGAAGACUUCAAGUACAAACAUGGCAAAGGAGGCACAAGAGAGCUCAACACCAAACAAAGAAAAAGAAAGUUGAUGUUGGAAAGAAGCGCAAGCAUAAUCAAGUAGCAUUGGUACUCGAGGACUACUUGGAAUUCAAAAAAGAGCAAGCAAAAAGGGCAGUGGGUAAAAUAGUGGAGGCAUCAAGGCAUGAAAUUGACACUUCUAUCUCCAAGUGUAUUGCUACGAUUGAAUCGAUCCAAGAGUUAACAGAUGAAGAAAAAGCAAAAGCUCUUGGACUCUUUAGAUGUCCACUCAAUAGGGAAAUAUUUAUGAACACAAGCAUCCCUAGCGUGCGCCUGAUAUGGCUAAAGAGCCAAAUGGAUAGAAGAGUAGUGCUGAUCUGAUGCUGUUGCUGAUCUGAUGCUGUUGCUGAUCUAAUGAUGUUGCUGAUCCGAUCUGAUGCUGUUUCUGAUCUGAUGAUGUUGCUGUUCAGAUUAUCGUCAUUAACAUUUAAGAGGCCUGUUGUUGAUCUGAUACUGUUGCUAAUAUAAAAAACUUACCUUCCUUCCUCGUACUCUUUUGUUUUCAGUUCAUUUUUUGUUAAAUAUUGGGGGAUAUAAACAGAACAGUAAUCCCAUGUUAUUAUCGAAUGGUUCCAUAUAGCGUAUAAAUGGACCCAUCUUUCAUGUGAAAG